CCUACGGGAGGCAGCAGUGAGGAAUAUUGGUCAAUGGACGCAAGUCUGAACCAGCCAAGCCGCGUGAAGGAGGACGGCGCUGUGAGUUGUAGACUUCUUUUGUACGGGGAUAAAAGGAGGUACGCGUAUCUUUCUGAGAGUAUCCUACGAAUAAGGAUCGGCUAAUUCCGUGCCAGCAGCCGCGGUAAUACGGAGGAUCCGGGCGUUAUCCGGAUUUAUUGGGUUUAAAGGGAGCGUAGGCCGGCUGUCAAGCGUGCUGUGAAAUGUCCGGGGUCAACCCGGGCCUUGCAGUGGGAACUGGCGGGCUUGAGUGCGCGGAAGGCAGGCGGAAUGCGUGGUGUAGCGGUGAAAUGCUUAGAUAUGACGAAGAACCCCGAGUGCGAAGGCAGCUUGCUGCACCGGAACUGACGCUGAGGCUCGAAAGCGCGGGUAUCGAACAGGAUUAGAUACCCUGGUAGUC
rnacentral:rRNA from 1 species